UAGAGAAUCCAAACCCAAUCUGUGCUGUGGGGUUGAGCUUCCCACCUCAGGAGGAGAGGGAUCCUGCCUGCCAAGGUUACCCAUCAGUGCCUGCUCUGAUGAGACAAUGCUGGAGACUUCUCUGUUUGACCAGCUGAAUUUCCACCCAUACACCUGGAUUUUGAUCCUAUGGCUCAGGCUGAAGCUUUCCUCACUUCUUCAGAGACCGUGCUAACCAAGGUCAGCAGAACUGCCUGAGCCAUCAGCCAUCACGCAGUAGGGAAAAUGAUCAUGUGGCAUCUUGUCAGGCUUGUCAUGAAGAAGAAACCAAUGCCUCUUUCUUGGGACCAUUUAGGUCAUUGGGUGUUUGAGCAGCAUAAAAUUACAGAGGAAAAUUUAACAGCAUACAACGAGACUGAAAAGUGACAAAUCUGCAUUUCCUAAGACCCAGGGAUGCAGGCAGAUGUCCUGCUCUGCUUAUUUACACCUUG